GAAAUGCGAUAAGUAGUGUGAAUUGCAGAAUUCAGUGAAUCAUCGAAUCUUUGAACGCACAUUGCGCCCCUUGGUAUUCCAUGGGGCAUGCCUGUUCGAGCGUCAUUUGUACCCUCAAGCUCUGCUUGGUGUUGGGUGUUUGUCCCCGUCUCCGCGCGUGGACUCGCCCCAAAGUGAUGGGCAGCCGGCGUACUGGUCCCGGAGCGCAGCACAUGUCGCGCAAACGAGUGCCUUGGUACGGCGGCGUCCAUAAGCCCCUCUCUCACGCUCUUGACCUCGGAUCAGGUAGGGAUACCCGCUGAACUUAAGC
rnacentral:misc_RNA from 1 species